GCUUAGCCCUAAACAUAAAUAAUUCACUUAACAAAAUUAUCCGCCAGAGAACUACUAGCAACAGCUUAAAACUCAAAGGACUUGGCGGUGCUUCACACCCCACUAGAGGAGCCUGUUCUAUAAUCGAUAAACCCCGAUAAACCUCACCACCCCUUGCUAAUUCAGUCUAUAUACCGCCAUCCUCAGCAAACCCUUAAAAGGAAAGAAAGUAAGCACAAUCAUCUACACAUAAAAAAGUUAGGUCAAGGUGUAACCCAUGAGGUGGGAAGAAAUGGGCUACAUUUUCUAAAUAAGAAUAUAUUUACACGAAAGUUCUUAUACGAAAUUAAUAACUAAAGGUGGAUUUAGUAGUAAACUAAGAAUAGAGAGCUUAAUUGAACUGGGCCAUGAAGCAC
rnacentral:rRNA from 1 species